rnacentral:rRNA from 1 species
AUUCCAGCUCCAAUAGCGUAUAUUAAAGUUGUUGCAGUUAAAAAGCUCGUAGUUGGAUUUCUGUCUCUUUUGGGAUGCGGUCCGCCCUUCAUGGGUGAGCACUGUUAUCCUGGGGACAUCCUCUCAAAGGCGUUAUGGUGCACUUAGUUGUGUGCUUAAUGAAUUUGGGAUCUUUACUUUGAAAAAAUUAGAGUGUUCAAAGCAGGCUUAUUGCUUGAAUAUAUUAGCAUGGAAUAAUGGAAUAGGACUUUGGUUCUAUUUUGUUGGUUUCUAGGACUGAAGUAAUGAUUAAUAGGGACAGUUGGGGGCAUUAGUAUUUAAUUGUCAGAGGUGAAAUUCUUGGAUUUAUGAAAGACUAACUACUGCGAAAGCAUUUGCCAAGGAUGUUUUCAUUA